UGGGGAAUCUUGCACAAUGGGGGAAACCCUGAUGCAGCGACGCCGCGUGAGCGAUGAAGCCCUUCGGGGUGUAAAGCUCUUUCGACGGGAACGAUAAUGACGGUACCCGGAGAAGAAGCUGCGGCUAACUACGUGCCAGCAGCCGCGGUAAUACGUAGGCAGCAAGCGUUGUUCGGAGUUACUGGGCGUAAAGAGUGCGUAGGUGGUGCCCUAAGUCUGUUGUGAAAUCUCCCGGCUUAACUGGGAGGGUGCGGUGGAAACUGGGGUGCUUGAGUGUGGGAGAGGUAAGCGGAAUUCCUGGUGUAGCGGUGAAAUGCGUAGAUAUCAGGAGGAACACCGGUGGUGUAGACGGCUUACUGGACCACGACUGACACUGAGGCACGAAAGCGUGGGUAGCAAACA
rnacentral:rRNA from 1 species